AUGAGUGCAUUAGCAUUUAGGUUUAAUUAAAGUCUUAAACUUUUAGGAGCUCUUGUUUAAAUCCAUUGUCAGUCUUCUCCAUUUUCAAGUUGUGACUUUGAGUUAUUUUUUAAAAAAUGUUGUUCAAAAGAGAAAUUCCUAGUAAUGACAGGAUGAACUUACUGAAGGGGUGAGUUUGAGUUCCGCUCUCUCCCGAUCUCCUUGUUCAAAGAACUCACUGGUCACCAGUUCAGCCACCUGAAACACCUGGAAUCUAGACAUUAUGGCUGGAGCUUGAGCAACUGUCUUGGACUAAGAGGUGGAAAAUAUGUAUUGAAGGUGGCAUCAAAAAAGAUAGAAGAAGCCUGGGACUCUGAAGGCAUUAUGUAACUACUGUACCAAUUUCAGACUGCUGUUCUCUAGACUUCUUUUAUGUAACAGAGAAAUGCUUAAGUCAGCCAUUAAGAAGAAGAUAAACAACUGAAUGAAUGCUGCACCGUAAUUCUGCUUAGGUCUUCCUGCCUGAGCGGUACCCCAUGGAUCUGUCAUGAGUGUUCUGAGGCCUUUGAAAAAGUGACCAGAAAUUAUGAAAAAAUAGUCACUUUACAUCCAGACACACACCCAGCAUCGCCCAGUGAAAAAAAUAUAGACCUGAGAAGCAAUUACAUAAAAGUUAAUGUUCAGACAAAGAGAAAACUGGUCUGAACUUGUUUAGUUUGCGAAGGCAUUCACUUUACUACUUUCAAAGGAUGUAAGAAGAUCUAACACCACUUCUGAUGAGCAGACUCUCAAAGUGAACUAGAUCUGCUUUAAUUUUUAAAGCAAGUUAACAUGCAUCACCAUAUUAGGUUUGUAUGUGCUUGUAUGCAAACUGGCCUUUCACCAUAUCUCAAGAUUUGGUUCCCUGAAGUAAAAGUUGAGUCUCCCUGAAGCUCUGUUUCUAUGGCUAUUUAGGUAAGGAGAGAAUGUGGAAAUGAUGAAAGGAAAAACAAAUGUGGAGAGGUCUGGGGCAACUUUCCUCACACCCUCUAGCCUCUCUGCCCUGGGCACCACAGCGGGUGCAGCGUGCAUGGCUCCAUUAUUAUUGGCCUCUCUGUUACUCCUAGGAGCCCAGAGUGAAGGGGGCCUAUGUGUUAUGCUCAUGUGGAUGCAGAGUCAAAGGCCGGGGGUUUUCCCCAGGAAACCUGAUAUCUUGUUUAUAAUCUUUGUUGUGAUAAACGUAGGGCUUUCUGGGGUCAGAGGUGUAAAUUCAUCACUUUGCCAGCACAACAAAGACAGUGUGAACCCAGAUGUUUCCUAUAUCUCGUAUCCUCUUCCACAGAGCUCAGCCAAGACACUGCUUUCGUAGGAAAAUUACAGAGUCCCAGAUGCUGGGAUGCUGGCUUCUGUCAGUUACUGAGAGCUGAACCCCGGGUGUUUCAUUCAACACUGCAAAUACAUCACCCUUAGCAGCCUUGCCUUGCCCUGCUGGCACUCCGGUUCCGGAGCGGUGACUAUCCUUUAUGGGGUCGAAGGCUUUCAUGAUAUUGCAAAAGCUUUCUCAACACUGGCUGGAGGAAAAAAACCUCCAUAUUUAAUGAUGCUAUUCCAGCGAAGCAGGGCCUUAAUGAUGAUAAUAAUAAUAAUUAAUGGCACAGUUAGAGAACUGACAAAUAAUGGGGAACAGAUGAUCCCUUCCUGGCCUUGGAAAAAAAAAGUCUGUACGCCUGCAGAAAAUUAAACAGAUCCUUUUCUGGCAAUUUAAAACUCAGAUGCCUCAGCCAGAGUCAGUUAGUCGUUUCUGUUUUUCUCUGCAGAAGACUAAAAGUACAAAGCCCAACUACUUCCAACUCCUGCAUUGCCACAGGAAGCAAAAUAAGGCAUAUCCCUCAGCCCUGGGUCUGAGGUUUUGCUGCAGUUCAAACUUUAACACCCGUCCCACCAGCAAUUUAAAGUUCUUUUAUCUUUUAUAGGUUUCUCCAUUGUGCUAACAAAGUGUAACUUUCUCACCGGGUUUUUGCUUCUAUCAUCUUUUAGAAUGGCUUUGAGGUUUGCAAAAAAGGGAAUGUGGGGCCCCCUCAGUACUUGAAUCAAAUUAUUCCCUUAGUGAGUGUCUUAGUUAUUUUUCUCUCAUUGCUGGGACAAAUACCCAAUACCCAAGAUUAAAGAGGGAAAGUUUUAUUUAGCUCACAGUUUGUAGAGUCCAUAAUCAGCUGACUUCAAAGCAGGGUGGCAUGGCAGAGGGGCAGUAGUUCAAGGUAGUAGAAGACAGCAAAAGCAACAGGAGGAAAAGGGUGGGGGAGAGCAAGCCUCUUUUUUCUCUCUUAUAUUGUGUGCAGGGUCCCUACCCUCCAGUGGGGGUAGCACUCACACCAUCUCCACAUUCUCCUCUUGCAUAAGCUCUGGAUGUUUACAAAAUGAGGACCCUGACCCACUGCUGACUUACUUA